AUUGAACGCUGGCGGCAUGCCUUACACAUGCAAGUCGAACGGUAACAGGUCUUCGGAUGCUGACGAGUGGCGAACGGGUGAGUAAUACAUCGGAACGUGCCCGAUCGUGGGGGAUAGCGGAGCGAAAGCUUUGCUAAUACCGCAUACGAUCUACGGAUGAAAGCAGGGGACCGCAAGGCCUUGCGCGGACGGAGCGGCCGAUGGCAGAUUAGGUGGUUGGUGGGAUAAAAGCUUACCAAGCCGACGAUCUGUAGCUGGUCUGAGAGGACGACCAGCCACACUGGGACUGGGACACGGCCCAGACUCCUACGGGAGGCAGCAGUGGGGAAUUUUGGACGAUGGGCGAAAGCCUGAUCCAGCCAUGCCGCGUGCAGGAUGAAGGCCUUCGGGUUGUAAACUGCUUUUGUACGGAACGAAAAGCCUCUUUCUAAUAAAGAGAGGUCAUGACGGUACCGUAGGAAUAAGCACCGGCUAACUACGUGCCAGCCGCCGCCGUAACAC
rnacentral:rRNA from 1 species